rnacentral:rRNA from 1 species
GAAUUUAAAUAAAAUAAGCAAAAAAAAAUAAGCAUUUAAAGGAUAUCUAGGAUUAAAAAAAGAGUAUAAUCGGAUAGGCGUAAAUUGAUACGAAAAAGGAUAAGUAGAAAAUUCUAUAUUUCUGUAAUAUAUCUGUUCCUAUUAGUUGAAAAACAAAAAAAGAAAAUAAAGUGAAUUGAAACAUCUAAGUAGCUUUAUUAAAAAGAAAUCAAUAGAGAAAACGAAAGUAGUGGUGAGCGAAAUUGUUAAAGGCAUAAAAGUAUAUAUUAUUAUUUUUUUAAAAGUUAAUAUAAGGUAAAAGUCCUGUAUAAAAAAAUAAUAAUAUUAAAAUAUUAGGUUGAUAAUUCAUAUAUUAAUUUAAAGAUAAUGGAGUACCACCUUCAAGCCUAAUUAUAGUUUUAAUACCGAUAGUGAAAAAGUACCGUGAGGGAAAGAUGAAAUAGAAGUCGUGAUAGUGAAAAGAUCUUGAAAUUGAAUGCUUUUUAACAGUUGAAGCAAUUUAACGUUGUAACAACGUACCUUUUGUAUAAUGGGCCAAUGAGUUUAUAAAAAUAGCAAACCUAAAUAAAUGGUAGGUAAAGAGAAAUCAAGUAAUAAUUUUGCGUAAAGUUAUUUUUAUAAGAUCCGAAACCGUGUGAGCUAAUCAUGAACAAGCUAUUGUAGGCUGAACCAAUAUAUGUUACAAAAUAUUUGGAUGAUUUGUGAUUAGGGGUGAAAGGCUUAUCAAACUCGGAGAUAGCUGAUUUUCUGCGAAAUCUAUUGAAGUAGAGUUUUAAUAUUAUCUUUAUAGGGGUAGAGCACUUAUGGGAGUUUUGGGGAUUCGUCUUACUGGUUCUUAUAAACCUCCGAAUACUAUAAAUUGAAAAUUAUUAGAAAACAGACUGUGAAUUCGAAAGUUCAUAGUCAAAAGGGAAACAGCCCAGAUUAUUAAUUAAGGACUUUAAUUAAAUCUUAAGUGGUAAGAAUUGUGAAAAGACUAUGACAGUUAGGAAGUAGGCUUGGAAGCAGCCAUCUUUUAAAGAUAGCGUAACAGCUCACUUACUGAGAUUUUUUGCAUCAAAAAUGUAUAGAGGCUUAAAGAUUUAUCCGAAAUUAUAAAAUAUGAGAGUAAUAUUCUAAAUAUAAUUAAAAAUAAAAUAAAAAUAAAAAAUUUUACAGACUAAUUCUAUUUCAGUAUAAUUUUAUAAUUUAAAUUAAUAUUAUAUUAAUUAAAUUGUCACUUCCUUGUUAAUACGAUUUCGUAUGGGUAAAAAAAUUAUACGUAGUAAUAAAUAUUACUAUAUUAGUCUUAGUUUUGAUUUUUACCAUGUAUACGAUGCUUAGCUUUAAAGUAUAUGGAUUAAAAAUCAAGUAAAAUUAUCCUGGAUAUAAUACACUUAAAAUCUUAUAGAUUAAAUAAUGCUCCGCACUAGGAUACUAAAAAUACACGUAAAAUAUUUUGUAAUGAAAUAUGAAGUUAGUAUAAUAGUACAAUGUGUUUCGCUUAAAGUAAGUCUAUCAAAAAUUAAGUAAAGUCCAUUAGGUUAAAUAUACAAAUUUAUGAAUAUACGAUGCUUAGCUUUAGAGUAUACAUACUGUUUAUACAAGGCUUAGCUUAAAAUUAUAACACUUGAAUAUACGGUGCUUAGCUUUAAAGUAUACAUGUGUUUAUAUAAAGCUUAGAAAGUAUACAGAUAACGUAUAUUUGUGAAAAAUUUAUUUUUUUUUGUUUUUAUAAAAUUAUAUCGUUUUGAUCCCACUAAAGUGCUUUUUUUAGGUAAGAAGUUGAAAUAUGAAGUUAGUAUUAAAAAUACACGUAAAGUAUUUCGUAAAACGUUUGGGCAUUUAGUGUCUUGAAACAUUAAUAUGAAAACAUAUUGGUAGCAGAAUGUUCUGUAUGUUGAUGAAGUAAUUUUUAAAAAAAAUUAUGGAGAUAUCAGAAGUAAUAAUAUUGGCAUGAGUAAAUAAAAAAAAUUAUGUAUAAUCAUAAUGACCGUAAGCUUAAGGUUUUCUACAGAUUUAACAAAAAGUAGAGUAAAUCGAUCCCUAAGGGUUAUAACGAAAGUUAAAUUUAAUGGGAAAUUUUUUUAAUUAGUGACGAUUAAUUUCGAAUAUAUUUAAUGUAUAUUUAGUAUACAGUUAUGUGUAUUUAAAAUUAGUUCUGGAAAUAGCUAAUUAUAUUAAAAAUCGUACUAAAACCGACACAGGUAAGCGAGUAGAGUAUACUAAGGUCUUGAGAUAACCAUGUUGAAGGAACUCGGCAAAUUGACCCUGUAACUUCGGGAUAAAGGGUGGCUUAAAUUUAGAAAAAUUUUUAAGUUGAUACUAAAUAAGAGAAUGCGACUGUUUAUUAAAAACACAAGUCUCUGCUAAAUUUAGUAAUGAAGUAUAGAGACUGACGUCUGCCCGGUGCUGGUAGGUUUAAAUAGGACGUUUAUCGCGAAAUAUCUAACCCACAGUAAACGGCGGCUGUAACUCUGACGGUCCUAAGGUAGCGAAAUUCUUUGUCGAUUAAUUGUCGACCUGCAUGAAUGACGUAACGAUGUUCUCACUGUCUCCAACAUGGACUUAGUGAAAUUGAAAUAUUCGUGAAGAUGCGAAUUUGUUGUAGUAAGACGGAAAGACCCCGUGCACCUUUACUAUAGUCAUAUAUUGUUGUUUGUUUAAUUUUGUGUAGUAGUAGGUGGUAGUAUAUAUACGGCAAUGAAAGACCAUCCUUAAUUAAAUUAAAGACUAAUUUGAUACGUAUUAAAUUUUAAUGCAAUAUUUUUAAUAUUUAGAAAUAGUUUAUGAUGGGUAGUUUGACUGGGGCGGUCGUCUCCAAAAAAGUAGCGGAGAUGUACAAAGGUAGGUUUGGUUAGUUUAUUGUUUCUAAUUGAAAGUGCAAUGGCAUAAGCAUGCUUAACUGUGCGAUUGUACAAAUCUAGCAGUAACGAAAGUUGGUCAUAGUGAUCCGAUAACCCUGUGUGGAAGGGUUAUCGCUCAACGGAUAAAAGGUACGCCGGGGAUAACAGGCUAAUAACUCUUUAGAGUCCAUAUCGAUGGGGUUGUUUGGCACCUCGAUGUCGGCUUACCGCAACCUGGAGCUGAAGAAGGUUCCAAGGGUUCGACUGUUCUUCGAUGAAAGCGGUACAUGAGCUGGGUUUAAAACGUCGUGAGACAGUUUGGUCCCUAUCUGCUACAAUUUAAUUAAAACUAAAACUGAAAGGAUUUAACCUCAGUACGAGAGGAAAAGGGAGUAUAAACCUAUGGUGUACCAAUUGUAAAAAAAUAGCAUCGUUGGGAAGCUACGUUUGUAAUGAAUAAUUACUGAAAGCAUAUCAAGUAAGAAAUCAACCUUAAAAUAAGUUUUAGAUUAAUACCGUGGAAGAUUACCACGUCGAUAGGUAAAAUUAUAAAAGUUAUAUUUAAAAUAAUAUUUUAAAAUAACGGGUAGUUUUAUACUAAUUUGCUU